rnacentral:rRNA from 1 species
AUUGAACGCUGGCGGCAUGCCUUACACAUGCAAGUCGAACGGCAGCGCGGGGCAACCUGGCGGCGAGUGGCGAACGGGUGAGUAACAUAUCGGAACAUACCCUAGAGUGGGGGAUAACGUAGCGAAAGUUACGCUAAUACCGCAUACGCACUAAGGUGGAAAGUGGGGGAUCUUCGGACCUCAUGCUCAUGGAGUGGCCGAUAUCUGAUUAGCUAGUUGGUGAGGUAAAGGCUCACCAAGGCGACGAUCAGUAGCUGGUUUGAGAGAACGACCAGCCACACUGGAACUGAGACACGGUCCAGACUCCUACGGGAGGCAGCAGUGGGGAAUUUUGGACAAUGGGGGCAACCCUGAUCCAGCAAUGCCGCGUGAGUGAAGAAGGCCUCGGUU